AAAAUGGGGAGGUAUACAAAUGUUUCCCUUGCAUAAGCAAGGCAAGUUUGCAAGUAACUAGGGAGAGGUAAAUGGGGAGUGGUAAAAGCUCCUGAAAAAUGCAGGUGGAAAUCUGUGACAAUAGGAGAGACGUCCCAAGGGCAGAGAGAGCAUGCACUGCAGUGCCUGAAGCCCCUCAAGGCGAGUGCUGUGGCUUUGCCUGCUCCUUUGUUGCUGUUUGGUGAGUUUACCUCUUUCUUUUUUUCCCUUCUUUUCCCUACUCUGACAGAAUAGCCUGCUGGGAAAGGGGACGCCUGGUAUUUAUGGAGCACAGCAAUGCAAACAAACCAGCUCCAAAUGAACCUUGACUAGGAAAAUCUGUGCCACACAGCGUGCGUUAUGUGCAAGUGACUACAAAACGUGGCCAGGCUGGUGAGGAGCUCUAAGGAACAGGGCUAUUCUCAGUCUUUUACCAGUGAUUUACCAGCACCAGCAUCUGUGAGAAAUAGAUUAAAACUAGAUUGCUAAUUAGCUUUAAAAUGUUAAUUUAUUU
rnacentral:lncRNA from 1 species